CCUACGGGAGGCUGCAGUGGGGAAUAUUGGACAAUGGGGGCAACCCUGAUCCAGCCAUGCCGCGUGUGUGAAGAAGGCCCUCGGGUUGUAAAGCACUUUCAGUGAGGAAGAACGCCUGGUGGUUAAUACCCAUCAGGAAAGACAUCACUCACAGAAGAAGCACCGGCUAACUCCGUGCCAGCAGCCGCGGUAAUACGGAGGGUGCGAGCGUUAAUCGGAAUUACUGGGCGUAAAGCGCGCGUAGGUGGCUUGAUAAGCCGGUUGUGAAAGCCCCGGGCUCAACCUGGGAACGGCAUCCGGAACUGUCAAGCUAGAGUGCAGGAGAGGAAGGUAGAAUUCCCGGUGUAGCGGUGAAAUGCGUAGAGCUCGGGAGGAAUACCAGUGGCGAAGGCGGCCUUCUGGACUGACACUGCCACUGAGGUGCGAAAGCGUGGGUAGCAAACAGGAUUAGAUACCCCUGUAGUC
rnacentral:rRNA from 1 species